AACGAACGCUGGCGGCAUGCCUAACACAUGCAAGUCGAACGAGACCUUCGGGUCUAGUGGCGCACGGGUGCGUAACGCGUGGGAACCUGCCCUUAGGUUCGGAAUAACUCCCCGAAAGGGGUGCUAAUACCGGAUAAUGUCUUCGGACCAAAGAUUUAUCGCCUUUGGAUGGGCCCGCGUUGGAUUAGCUAGUUGGUAGGGUAAAAGCCUACCAAGGCGACGAUCCAUAGCUGGUCUGAGAGGAUGAUCAGCCACACUGGGACUGAGACACGGCCCAGACUCCUACGGGAGGCAGCAGUGGGGAAUAUCGGACAAUGGGCGAAAGCCUGAUCCAGCAAUGCCGCGUGAGUGAUGAAGGCCUUAGGGUUGUAAAGCUCUUUUAACCGGGAUGAUAAUGACAGUACCGGGAGAAUAAGCUCCGGCUAACUCCGUG
rnacentral:rRNA from 1 species